rnacentral:lncRNA from 1 species
AUGUGGUGCCCUGGGAGAGGUGGAGCCGAAGGGCUGCCUGCAAAGCCCUCUCUCCUCCUGUCCUGCAUCGCUCAGGCCAUUUCCCUCCCCACUUUCCAACUUAGAACCAGUCGCUUUUAUGAGCUUCCUCCAGGCCCGCACAUGGGGGUUUCCUCGACCGGGAACACCGAGCGCUGGCUCCCCCGCCUGAUGCUUCCACCAGCUGCUCUGAAGCCCAGCGGCCGGUGCCGGAACCUUCCUUGGCUCCGCUCAGCCCCUCUCAUGGUUCUCCUGCCAGAGAAAGGAUCUGAUGUUUUCCAUUUCCUCAAGUUCAUCAGCAUUGUUUGUCCUAAGGCAUGCGGACUUCCCUUCCUCGGGUCUCUGGACGUGCCUAGGCUGCCCGGCCGCCCCGGUGACCAGGGCGGACAUGGAGGCCAGGUGAUUCCCAUGCAGGGUCAAGCCCCUCACCUACCUCGAUCACAAGGGCAGCUUGGGCCAGUCCAGGUGGCUCAAGCUACCUGCAGAGGGGCCCCAGUUCCUUCACAGAGGGAAGAGGGGUCAGACAGAUUUUGGGGGGCGUGGGUUCCAGGUCCUAGAAGGAUGAUCCAGCUUCCUAGAGAAGGGUGUGGGGAAGAAAAAUUGUGUGCAGGAUGUGGCAUGGAGGAGGCAGGGAUGCUGGCGGGAGGGAGGCACGGCCGAGGCAGGGUGCGAGGCCGGCCCCUCUGCUCUGGGCUCCCGCUGCCACAGGCACCACGACCGCGUGUCAGGCUUUUACCGGCCCAGGGUGCAGUCACGCGCUCCAGCUAUUCUGUGUGGCACCCCACCUGUGGUGUCGCUGUUCUUUCCAUGGCAUCUCACAGAUGUGCUGGGGGGACCUCGCCGUCAGUCCUCGGUCAGCCGCAGGGCCGGGGUUCACCCAGAUCUCACAGGGCACCUCACGGAUCCCUCUCACCUUCUCCACCGUGGCGGGUUCUAAUCAUCUACGUCUCUCCUGAGCCAGACAGGAGCUCCCUGCAGGCGGGGGCUGUGCCGUGCCACCCUGCAACCCAGGGUGGGUGA